rnacentral:tRNA from 1 species
GCGCCCGUAGCUCAAUUGGAUAGAGCGCUGCCCUCCGAAGGCAGAGGUUACAGGUUCAACUCCUGUCGGGCGUACCA